UGGGGAAUCUUGGACAAUGGGGGCAACCCUGAUCCAGCCAUGCCGCGUGAGUGAUGAAGGCCUUAGGGUCGUAAAGCUCUUUCGCCUGUGAAGAUAAUGACGGUAGCAGGUAAAGAAACCCCGGCUAACUCCGUGCCAGCAGCCGCGGUAAUACGGAGGGGGCUAGCGUUGUUCGGAAUUACUGGGCGUAAAGGGCGUGUAGGCGGCCAAUUAAGUCAGAGGUGAAAUCCCCGAGCUCAACUUGGGAACUGCCUUUGAUACUGGUUGGCUAGAGUUCGGGAGAGGGUAGUGGAAUUCCCAGUGUAGAGGUGAAAUUCGUAGAUAUUUGGAGGAACACCAGUGGCGAAGGCGGCUCACUGGCUCGAUACUGACGCUGAGGUGCGAAAGUGUGGGGAGCAAACAGGAUUAGAUACCCUGGUAGUCCACACCGUAAACGAUGAAUGCCAGUCGUCGGGUAGCAUGCUAUUCGGUGACACACCUAACGGAUUAAGCAUUCCGCCUGGGGAGUACGGUCGCAGA
rnacentral:rRNA from 1 species